ensembl:lncRNA
GAGCCAACUUCUGGUAACCCUGAACUCCAGGCUCUCUCUCCCUUUUCCUCUUCAUUCAUCCAGUCGAUGGAGAGCAGCCAGGAAAAGACACUUUGUUGACCAUCCAAUCAGAAAGCAGAAUCCAGAUGGACUCCGUGUCCCUGUGUGUCCUCGAGCUAAAAGACUGUUACCAUAUCUCUGGAUUAAAGAACGGCAUUCUGUUGCAAGGGAAAAGUGACUAUGGUGAAACUACUUUAGCUUCAUCUGGUAACAUAACACUCAUAAUUUAAUUUCCUCCAAAGUAAAAGUUGGAUGCUGUAGGGUUUAAUGGUAUUUGGUUGAAUUUGUGACUGUGUGCCUGUAUGUGCUGUUACUUUUAAUUGAAUGUGUCCAACUCUCCUCCAAUCUUUAUUUAGUUUGACAUGAACUGAACUCUACUAUACUAACAUAAUAGAUAUGCGGUUUUUAAGGAAAAUAAAAUAAUCAGAAUUGGUGAAAACAUUUGGUUUAAGGCUUUGAAUUUCUUGGGAUUUUACUGAGUCGUUUUGGAAGCAAAGAAAAAUGCUAACGAUGAUCAUGGGAACAUUUAAUUUGAUGAGUCUUCUGCUGAAGUCGAACAUAUUUUGCAAAUUAAUUUUACAACUUGUUAAGAUAUUUUGUUGUAUUCAUUUCAUUUUUCGACCAGCUGCUCAUCCUGUUACUCUGUUGGGAAAAUCUAAAAAACAGUUCAGUUAUAGCAGCACUUUAAUUUAAAGAUGUAAAAUUAUGGAAAAAGUCAUAGAAUUUUAUGCCGUGGCUGUAGUUCACAACUGCUGGGAACUUUUAAGACAUUUCCAUUUUACUAGUGCCUCAAUAAUAAAAGUAUCUGUUCUUGUUAAAUGUCUUGUAAAUCUUUUAGAUUUUGAUAUGGAGAGUUGUGGAAUUAAUGAAGAUCACUGUUGGAACACUGCCCUCUUCAACUGCACGUGUUUCUCAGAUAUCCUGAAUCACAGAUAAACUAUUAUAGAAAAGGACAAAAACAGCCAGUCUUGCCACUCUCACAGCUAGUGUGUGUGUAGUGAUAUUUUAGUUGGACUAUGAAUAUAAAGUUUGAGGUCAGGAAGUCAUUAUAGAGCCUGUUAGGAUAGACACUCUACUAUUGAAAGUCAUGAUCUCAGAAUGAUGCCAAAAUCAACAGGUUUCAUCCUUUUUGAAUUAUGAUCAUUUCCAACAGACUUUGAGCUAAAUCAGACAUGCAUUACUUGUGAACCUGGUUCAGAAUUUAGACUCGAUCAAAUCUGUUGGGAAAUAAUAAAAUCUGUAAUCUGCAUAAUAAACUUAUUUACCACAUAUAAACAGAAAUUUAGGCCAGAGUUUUUAGAGUUCAUCGUUCGAGCCGUGAACUCUGAUGCCAGUUCAACAUAGCUAGGCUUUCUUUGUAUUAGCCGGCUCAACAAAUUCUAAAACCCCAAUCAGAGAUAAUGGCAUCACAACAGUAGAUAUCAGCUUUCUUUGUUACCCCAGGUGUUCUUCUCCAGGCUGUGUGCAUGCCCUCAUAAGUAUCUGACUUUUCUUCUGCACAAAAUGAAAACAAGUAUAGCAGCAAAAGACAACAUUUGCUGAAAAUGAUGUGUAAUCGAUGUGUUAUUUUACCACUUAGUGUCCUCUUAAUAAUGCAGCCUGUUACUACCCCACCAGGGAACGUAGCGGAGUUAUGUGAUGAUCUGCGUUGGUUUGUCUGUCUGUUAGCCUGUUAGCCUGUUAGCAACAUUACUCAAAAACAGACCAACAGAUUUAGAUGAAAUUUUCAGGGAAG